UACAGAGGCCUCGAGCGUUAGGCGGAAUCACUGGGCUUAAAGCGUGUGUAGGCGGACUUCUAAGUACCUUGUGAAAUCCCACGGCUCACCCGUGGAACUGCUCGGUAUACUGGUCGUCUUGAGCCUUCUAGGGGCGAGUGGAACAAAUGGUGGAGCGGUGAAAUGCGUAGAUAUCAUUUGGAACGCCAAAGGUGAAAACAGACAGCUGGGGAUGUGCUGACGCUGAGACACGAAAGCCAGGGGAGCGAACGGG
rnacentral:rRNA from 1 species